rnacentral:rRNA from 1 species
UACGAAGGUGGCAAGCGUUGUUCGGAAUUACUGGGCGUAAAGAGCGCGUAGGCGGUUUGAUAAGUCUGAUGUGAAAGCCCUGGACUCAAUCCAGGAAGUGCAUUGGAUACUGUCAGGCUAGAAUACGGGAGAGGUGAGCGGAAUUCCUGGUGUAGAGGUGAAAUUCGUAGAUAUCAGGAGGAACAACAGAAGCGAAGGCGGCUCACUGGACUGUUAUUGACGCUGAGGCGCGAAAGCGUGGGGAGCAAACAGGAUUAGAAACCCCUGUAGU